rnacentral:rRNA from 1 species
CCUACGGGAGGCAGCAGUGAGGAAUAUUGGUCAAUGGACGCAAGUCUGAACCAGCCAAGCAGCGUGCAGGAUGACGGCCCUCUGGGUUGUAAACUGCUUUUAUAUGGGAAUAAAAGCGGGCUCGUGAGCCCCGCAUUGUAUGUCCCAACAGAAAAAGGACCGGCGCACUCCGUCCCAGACGCCGCGGUAAUACGGAAGGUCCGGGCGUUCUCCGGUUUUUGUGGGGUUAAGGGGCGCGUAGGGGGGCUUUUAAGUUAGAUGGGAAAGUCCGCGGCUCAACCGUGGAAUUGCAGUUGAAACUGGAGGCCUUGAGUGCAUACGGGGAAGCCGGAAUGCAUGGUGUAGCGGUGAAAUGCUUAGAUAUCAUGAAGAACUCCGAUCGCGAAGGAAGGUGUCCGGGGUGCAACUGACGCUGAGGCACGAAAGUGCGGGUAUCAAACAGGAUUAGAUACCCUUGUAGUC